GAUGAACGCUGGCGGCGUGCCUAAUACAUGCAAGUCGAGCGAACAGACGAGGAGCUUGCUCCUCUGACGUUAGCGGCGGACGGGUGAGUAACACGUGGAUAACCUACCUAUAAGACUGGGAUAACUUCGGGAAACCGGAGCUAAUACCGGAUAAUAUAUUGAACCGCAUGGUUCAAUAGUGAAAGACGGUUUUGCUGUCACUUAUAGAUGGAUCCGCGCCGCAUUAGCUAGUUGGUAAGGUAACGGCUUACCAAGGCAACGAUGCGUAGCCGACCUGAGAGGGUGAUCGCCACCACUGAAACUGGGACACGUUCCAGACUCCUACGGAAGGCGGCAGUGGGGAUUCUUCCGCAUUGGGCGAAAGCCUACCGGAGCAACGCCGGGUGGGUGAUAAGGGUCUUCGGUUCGUAAACUCUGUUAUUAGGGAAGAACAAAUGUGUAAGUAACUAUGCACGUCUUGACGGUACCUAAUCAGAAAGCCACGGCUAACUACGUG
rnacentral:rRNA from 1 species